GCCCCGUUAGCUCAGUGGUAGAGCGUGCUUGUCUUCUCUUCUCUCCCAUACCUAAAAACCUAAAAUCUCUCUUCACUCCGACUCCGUUCCUAUGCUCCUAUUAAUUCUUCGGCAAGGCACUGGUUCGAUUCCAGUACGGGGCA
rnacentral:tRNA from 1 species